UCUCCCGCCUUCCCGUGACGGGCAGCGAAGUCAGCCAGUGGGACUGCGGGCUGGAAGGCUAACUCCGCCCACAUGUUGCGGAAAGGAGGCGGUAGUUUCCGGGAGCAUCACUUUCCCAGAAGACCCUGGCGAAUCCGCCCUCGAGUUUUCAUUGGUCCAACCGGGUCACAGACUCUGGCCCGUCUGGUUAGGUGGAAUCCCUGAUUGGGCCAAAUCUCUCAGGUCUCGCCCCUGGAGCCGGGAGGGGCGUUCGCUUUUCUUUCUGCGGCGUGGUGGACGCUUGGCGGAAGAGGGAGGGAAAGGUGGGCGGGGUCUGGUGAGGAGCUUUCCCCUCGUCCCGCAUGCGCCUGUAUUGGAGUGAUUUCAGUUAAAAGGUUCGUGAAACGUCGCCGCUUAAUGCGGUCGAGGCCAGCAGCAGCCGCCGCCGACCCCACCGAGGCCUUCUGUCCGGCAGCACGUGAGGCGCCGCGAUGCCAUGACGAGGGCAACGCCGGUCGCGCCCGGUGGAAUCCGCGUGUCCGAGUGCCUGAGCCGAUCGCACUCCUUGGGAGUUUAGGCCAUUUAGAGACGACGUCUUGGUGGACACGGAGGAAGCCAGUUUUAGUCAGAUGGGAAAUAUAUAAAGUGGGAGGGGACUGGGGCGAGGGGAGGACGGAGGCGGGCGGUGAUGGCGGCGCCCCACUGCCCUGAAGCAUGAGGGGCCCCGGGAAACCCGGGCCUGGCUGGGGUUGAGAUUCUGUUCUUCCGGGUCCUUAGCUACGUUUCAACUGUUCUGGAAUGGGGACUGGAUUUUUUACAGAAUUAUACAAACAGGUUCAACAAGAUGUAACAACUGUGGAGGCUCGAGAAACUGUACCUUGUAAAUUAAAUGAAAAACCUCGUUUCUUCAGACGCAAAAUGUUAGCUCCAUCUGCUGGUCUGAGGCUGAAUAAUUAAUUGCAAAGCCGGGAGAGGACUAGAUGUAGCUAGACGAGGUGAAAUGACCUGUGCUUUCUUGGUGUCCCGUCGGCUUCCUUUGCUUGCAUUUCUAAGAGAAUCUUGGUCUCAGAUUUCAGGACAAGUUGAAAACAGCUGGGCUAUUUAGUAUGCCCCCCCCCCCGCUCCCCCCAAACACACACACACUUCAGUUUAGAAAGUUUGGAUUAUUUAAAAGACAUGUUGGCGGCUGAGCAGAGAGGGCGAAGGAGCAUCUUCCGGGCUUUAUGAACUAAAACGGCUUUAUAAACUCCAGGGCAGUUAUACUUAAUCUAAAUCAGCAUGGAUGGGAUGGAAGUGGGAAAGAGGUAAUUUAUUGCAUGCUCAGUAGUUUGGAUGUUGUGCUGCUUUUAAGUUUCCUGCAUAAUAAGCUCCUUUCAUUUCUUUCACAUAACUUACUGGGGGAGGUACUGUUAUUUCUGAUUUUAUAGAUAAGGAGGCUGAGAGACAAAGAACCAUCCUGGUGUCACAGUGUCGAUUCGUAGGUAGAAAAGAAAAACAUUAAUCUACCUCCAAGACCUUUUAAAAAGCCGAGAUUUUAGUCCUGAGAGGCAGCUGUUCUGCCUUGUAGGUUUGUGGGGUCUGCCCUUCUGUGAGAGUCCUUUUAGGUUUGUGUCUCCAGCAUAUAAAAUUGUGCCUGACCCAUAGCAAGGGCUUAAUAAAUACUGUUUGAAUGAACAGACAAGUCUGGGUUCAAAUCAUUGCUUCUCAACUGCAUAGUUGGGAUGAUCAAUCCUCAACACUCACUGCCUGCUCUAUUUGGAAGCAACCUGGAUUUUAUUUCCCCUUUGAUCCUGGAGUUUGGGGGUCAGAGACAUCCCUAGCUCCAAGGGGCAAAAAACUGGCACUGUAUGCACUGAGCCCAGCUGAGGGUGGUGGGAGGCCCAGUUAUGAACACUGACCCUGGAGGUGUUUGCUGAGGGAUUCUGGGAAGAAAUCAGGCUCUUGAUGACUAUUGGGAGUCAACUCGUCCCUCAAGUUUGGACUUUUCAGUUUCAAGAGCCAGGAAAUCCCUUUUUAUCAUUUAUACUAUUUAAAAUUGGGCAUAAACAUAAAGUUAUUUGCAACUUGACUAGUGUGGCUUAAGCAUUAGCAGGGUGGCUGUGGCAAGUGAGCCUCCCUGGGGCUCAGCUGCCUCCUCUAUAAAUGGGGCAGUGGUUAUACCCAUCUCCUCAGGCUGAUGUGAGGAGCAAGGGACACAACGCAUGCUAAGUGCUUCAUACGGGGCCGAGCAAGAAGUAGCAUCCAGAAAGCGUUAAGAAAGCAGGAUCAUGCUUUGACAUCUGCCUCUACUGCAGCUUCCUUACUUGCCAACAGUCCCUCCAGUGACUGGCUUUUAAACUUGGAAGAAGUGUAUUGGCAAAUUGGUGGGAUUUGUCACCAAAUCGCAUGGGCACCUUCUGAAGAUGAGCCCAGUGGUUUAAGCAGCUGUGGAGCCAGCGGUCCCAUGUGCAGCGUGGAGCCCAUCCAGGGAGGAAGGGCACAUCUGGUCACACAUGCAGAGUCCUUGGCAGCUCUGACGACAAGCUUGACUUAAGGAUCUUUACGUCUGUAAACACAGGAUUGAUGUUUGCCUUCAUUGUCAAUGUGGUUCUCUGGAGCCGGAUCUUAACAGCAUUUGCUUGCCAUGAAAGGCUGCGUGACUUGGAGCCAGUUGAUCUAUAGUGACAGAAAAGCAGUUGUGACUCUAAGGCAUUGCCACCAAAAACACUUCUGUUUUUUCUCUGUCUCUCAGCCUUAACAGGAUCAUCUGAGCCACUGCCAGUUCAGAGUGAGCUGGGGCUGCAUUUCUGGGAGGUCAAUUGGGGACCUGACUUUUGAAGAGAUUCUGAGGCUCACUGAAGGAGCAAACUCUAUGAGGUCAGAUAAUGUUUUGCAAAAUCUGAGCUCUGCCUUCUCUGCCCCUCAGUUACUACCUCUGUAAAAUGGGGAUGUGGACGCUAUAGAUAUUAAAUGGCAGUACAUCAAAGAAGCGCCAUCUGGAGCGUUUGCCCAGCCUGCAGUUAUGCCAUUUGUCUGAGAAGCUUGUAGGGAUCAUUUCUGGUUUGGAUCUCAGGCCUCUUCCCAGCUUAGCCACCAGCCAUCUGAAAUUGUGGGAAAGGUCAGAUGGCUGCAAAGCCUCUGUGUGGGGUUGGAACUAAAUAUGCAUAUUUAUCAGUGUUUAAUGGAAGACUACAGGAUGCUUGCAGAGCCUGCAGAAGGCACUAGUAAGGCGGCUCCUUGAGUCUGGGAACAAGAGCUGGGCAGUGGGUGCUUCAGGGGCUGAGUUGAACUGACAGAGCUGUGACCAGUGACCAGCACCUGGGAAUCUCUGCUAAAGUCAGAUUCUCAGGAUUGGCUCAACUUCAGUCACAUGCCACCCCUCUGCUGCCCAGGAGGGACGAGUGGCCUGAGGAACAGUCCCAGCAAAACCACCGAGGGAGGAAGUUUCUCAAAAGAAGUAAAGUGGAGGAGCUGUUCCCAGAGGAAGGAGUGGGGAGUCUGAGAAGGCAGGAAGAACUGAGGCCGUGAGCACAGAGGAUGAAGCAGAGGCGAAGGCCAUGUGACCGGAGAGAGAGAGGGCAGAGCUGGAGUAAGACAUGCGUGCACACAUAUGCACACAUGGACACUCACAUGCGCACAAUGAGCUAUAGAGAAUGAUUGCCUUGAUGCCUUACUGUGGCAGAUUAUAUUUCCUGAAAAUGGCCGCAGAAAAGUUUCUGGUCGCAUGUGCUCAUCUAGAACCUUACUUGCCACCCCCCACCAGGAGAUGGUGUUGAGCCCCUCCCUUGAUCAGGCAGGCUUUUGUGACUGUGUGAGCUCGGGCUAAACGGUGUUACAUGGCUGUCAAGCUUGACCUCUAACAGGAUAUGCAGCCGGUGCUGCUCUCCAACAUGUCCUUGGAGCGCAGCGUUGGGCUGCAAGCAAAGCCCAGCUCCAGUUCAGCCACCCAGCAGCAACACGUGCUCGGUAACCAGUUGUGUGAGUGACUUGUGUGAGCCACCUUGGUCCCAGGUUGGGUACCCAGCUGGCAUGGCUUGGAGAGAAAUGAGCCUACCCUGUCACACCACACCCAAAUUGCAGAUUUGUCAGCAAAAUAAUGGUUGUGUUAACCCACUAAGUUUUACGGUGCUCUGCUAUUCUGCAAGACAGAGUCUUACUCAUCACUUUCCUUCUCCAAGUCCUCGUUGUGGUCCUGCCCCAAGGCUCCAGGGAAUAGCCUAGUACUGGCAAUAACUCCUUUUUAAUUUAUGUGUGACCUGGGUUUGCCACUUGCUGCUAGUGGAAACUUGAAAAUAGGGCCCCUUGGCUAGGUGUGAUGGCUCAUGCUUGUAUCCCAGCACUUUGGGAUGCCGAAGUGGGUGGAUCAUGAGGUCAGGAGUUAGAGACCAGCCUGGCCAACAUGAUGAAAUCCCAUCUCUACUAAAAAUAUAAAAAUUAGCCAGGCGUGGUGGCAGGCACCUGUAAUCCCAGCUACUCAGGAGACUGAGGAAAGAAUUGCUUGAACUUGGGAGGGAGACGUUGCAGUGAGCUGAGAUCACGCCAUUGCCCUCCAGCCUGGUCAGCAAGGCAAGACACUGUCUCAGAAACAAAAGGAAAAGAGAAAGAAAAUAGGGCGCCUCAAGGCCUUAUAUAGCGAUGCCUUAAAGAACUCAAUGCAGUCCUGAGGCUGACUUUCCCCUGAGCCCUGAAAAUGGAUCCAUUGGUCAGGGACAGUCACAGGAACAAGCUCACAAGUCCACACUCCAGAGGGGGUGUCAGUUAGUUCACCUACAGCCAGAACCAACUUCUCAGGGACUAAGUGGCUUGUGUUCUCUGUGUGAGCCGGUGCAGGUGGCUGUAAGAGCAUGGGUCAGAACAAGGAAACACAGUCGAUGGCCUGAUCCCAGUGACCAAGGGCACAAGCUGACAGGGCCUCAAGGGUCUAUGUUCCCAGGAAGGAACGUGAUCACCAGGGAGACCAGAUACCCCACACGAGUCUGGUGACCACAGUCCCUUCCCACCAGCCCUGCCCACAUUUGCCCCCGUAAAUUACCCCACCCUUUUUUGGGGGUGGUGAACAUUUUAAUUUGUUCACCUUGUGUGCUGGGAGCCUUUCUCUUAAAGGUGACAUUACAUAGCAGGGAGGGGGUAGGAAGUGGGGAAUUUACAUACAACUCUUGAGACUUGAGGGCUGCUGGGGAGGGUGUCAUUUUCUUGUCUGGCAAGAGGGGCAGAGAAUCUUUUCUUCCAAGGAACUGGAAAAAACCCCUUAGGCAUUUGGAAAUCAGCUGGAGCCCUCUGAGAAGGGAAGUAGCAAGCCUCAGACAGGCACUAAAGUGUCAAUCAUAGCAGUCAUUGUAAGAGGCUGCACAAGCAACCUCUGGAGGAUCCGGCACAUUCAGUGUCCUUCACAAGCAACACCAUGGUGACCUUGGGCAUAGCCUUGGACGUGGCUAUUCCUAUUGACCCAACCAUGCAGGCCAACUGUAAAUCUGAGUGGAAAGGGGCUGUGAACCUCAUUAAGCCAUGGGUGCUCAGAGCUGAUGACACAAAGAAAAGGUAAGAUGUGUGAUCCCUGCUUUCAAUGAGCUGAGCUUCGAGCUGAAGGCAUGGCACUUACAAACACAAGACCCCAAGGGAACAAUGGCCUUUGCUGCUUUGUUUACCAGGAGUGCACUUCUCUGGACUUGCAAUCAAAACCCCAAUAAGGUGCCAACUCUGCAAUCUUAAGAUGACAGAAUCAAAAAAUGGAAAAGAACAAAUUUUGGUGAGAAUGUGAGGAAAUUGGAAUCCUUGUGCAUUGCUUAUGGGAAUAUGGUUCAGCCACUGUGAAAAAUAAUUAAAAAAAAAAUUCAACCUAGAGCUGCCAUAUGACCUAGCAAUUCUUCUAGGUAAAUACCCAAAAGAAUUGAAAAUAGGUAUACAGAGGCAUAUUCAUGAUUGUUCAUUAUAGCCAACAAUUGAAACAAUCCAAAUGUCCAAUGGAUGAAUGAAAAAACAAAAUGUGGUAUAUCCAUACAGUGGAGUACUAUUCAGCCAUGAAAAAUGAAGCACUGGCUAGGUGUGGUGGCUCAUCCCUGUAAUCCUAGUGCUUUGAGAGGCUGAGGCAGGAGGAUCAAUUGAGGCCAGGAGUUCCACACCAGCCUGGGCAACAUCAUGAGACCUAGGCUCCACAAAAAUAAAAAAAUAUAUGUAUCUCGGCAGAAACCCUACAAGCUAGAAGGGAGUAGGGGCCAAUAUUCAACAUCCUUAAGAAAAAAAUAAAUUAAAAAUAAAUAGAUAAAAUAAUUGCCAGGUGUGGUGGGUCACACCUAUAGUACUAGCUCUUUGGGAAGAUAAUGCAGGAGGAUCUCUAGAGCUUAGGAGUUGAAGGCUGAAGUAGGCAAUGAUCAUGCCACUGGGCAACAGAGACCCCAUUUCUAAAAUCAAUAAAUACAUACAUGAGAAGUACUGAUACAUAUUGCAAUGUAGAUGAACCUUGAAAACAUGCUGAGUGAAAGAAGCCAGACACAAAAGUCACGUGUUGUAAGAUUCCAGUUCCGUGGAAUAUCUAGAGUGGGUGAAUCUGCAGAGAGAGAAUGCCAAUUGGUGUUUGCCAGGGGCUGUGGGCAAGGAGGAAUGGGAAGCACUGUCCUGGACACCAGGCUUUUGAAUCAUGGAAAUGUCCUGGAACUGAUAGAGGUCGGACAAUAUUGUGAAACUACCAAAUACCACUGAACUGUUUGCUUUAAAAUAGUCCAUUUUAUGUUGAACUUCACCUCAAUAAAUUAUUAAACAGAAAAAUAUUCUCUUUCCUCGAGGCUCAGUUGACAUGCCAACUGCCCAAAGGUGUGUCCUGUGGUCCAAGUGGCUGGAGGUGACUUUUGUGACUUCAUGGCCACUGGGUUCCUCUGCUGCUAGUUGCUUUGUCUCCCAGCUGCUGUAUGUUCCUUUCUCCUGACUGAGUGCUGAGGGCUGGGGCCAGCGUCUCUGUCCUUUCUUCCUGACUCAGGACUGAGGGCAGGGACCAGCCAUUCCUCUCACGCUCUGAGGCUCAUACUUAUUUCAGCCUUGCUGAGUCCCUCAGACCCCUGCACUUCCUACUGUGGGGCUGGAGUCUGGGCUCACCUGUCUUUCUCUGGGGCCAUUUGAACAAUCCAGGUGGACAGAGCAGAAAGAUCACGUGAAGUUGGAUCCAGAUAGACUUGCGUGACCUCCUGUGAAUGAUAGAACCCUCUGAGUCUGUAAAAUCGGGGUACCUGCUUCCUAAUGCUGGCAUAUGGAUAGCUGAGCGAUGCCUGAGUAGUGGGUGCAGCUUCUGUCUUGUGUCGCGAUUACCCCAACUCCACUCCCAUCUUCUCUUCCUCUCUUAACCGGGUACUGGCUUUUCUGAUCCUGAAUCCACACAUCCUCCUCAAAGGGACUUGGCUGGGCACAGCUGUCACUCUGCAGCAUGUCCCAGACUAGGGUACCAGGCCCGAGGCCCUUCAUAAUGAGACAGGAGCUGAGUUUCCACCAUUCUCUAUCUGUCCCACGUUUCGGCCACGCGGAAUCCGUGGCGCUUGCUCCAGCCCUCAGGCUGCCCUCUCUGCCUUGAGGACCUUGCCCCGUUUCUGCACACAUUCCCGCCAUCCUUCAGGGACUGGCUCAGAUACCACCUUCUCUUUAAAGCCAUGCCCACUUUCCGGAAAGGUCUGCGGUGUUCCUCCUCCCUGAACAUUCCUGUGCCCCUUUUGUGGCAUUCAUUUCUCGCUCUCUCCGCAGUGUUCGUCAUCAGUGGAAGCGUCUUGAGGUGGGGGCAGCCAGGCUGUGUGGGCUCAGGGCGAGGCCCUGGUGUGUCCAGCGUCAGCAGAGACAUUUGGGUGAUGCAUGGAUCUGAGGGCUGCUCUGUGUGUGAAGAGAGGCCACUCCCAAUUGGGAGACGCUGAGGUGCUUGGCAAAGAUGGGACUUGAGAGAGGCCUUGAUUGAUGAGUGGGCUUUGAAUAAGGAAUCAGUCUUGGGACUCAGAAGUGGAUGGCAAGCAUUUUCCCUCUCCCCUUGCAGCCUGGGAAAGCUGAGUGGAGCAGGCAGUGAGGGGCCCUCUUCACUGCUUUCCAGACCAGGGUUUUCUGGCCACAGUCUUGGACCUUACCAAGGUCAGGGCAGGAAUGCCCAGAGUUAACACCGAAGAGUGUACCUCAAUAAGGACAGAUGGGAACUGGAGAAUAAAUACCCCAGCUUCCAACUCCUCAAGCAGGACACCUCUGAGGCACACCCUGCACCAUCUUGGUGCUCCCCAGAGACUGAGCGCAGGCACCUGCAGUGCUGCUCCAUGAUGGCUUCUCUUCUCCCUGCCUGCCUCACAUCCCUGCACCCCAACAGGUGCCCCUGGGAUCACAUCUCAAAUAAAUGGCUUGUAGUGCAAUUAUUUUCUCAGGGGCUGCCGCUGGGGACUCUGCCUAAGCCAGGGAGCAAAGAAAGGACUUUCUGUCGCUAUUAAAACUCCUGAAGAAUGUCCAGAUGGGUUUUCCUAGUCCCUUGAAGGGUCAACGCCUUGGCUAUCCGCUCUCUUUUGCUGCCAGGCAGUAACAAAUCUAAUGCUAACUUCAGUUCUCAAAGUGAGGGAGCAUCAGAAUCCUUGCUAACACAAGGGUGCCAGAGCCUUAGCUUCUAAGUUUCUGUUGCAGCAGGACCCAGGCAAGGCCAGAAUUUGCAUUUCUAACCAAUUUCCAGGCAUCCAGGAUGCCCAGGGACCACACUUUAAAACAACGGCUCUUAACUAGAGAAUAAAAGAGCCUGGGUUGAAAGUGCUCCGCAGCUUAUUUAAUGAAAUCAAUUAUCAUUUUACACUCUUACGCAAUUAGUUCAGGCUUGACUGUUGAGCUUAGUUUUUUUUUUUUUUUUUUGACAGAGUGUUGCUUUGUCACCCAGGCUGGAGUGCAGUGGCAAGAUCUAGGUUCACUGCAACCUCUUCCUGGAUUCAGGCAAUUCUCGUGCCUAAGCCUCUGAGUAGCUGAGACUACCGGCAUGUGCCGCCAUGCCGGCUAAUUUUUGUGUUUUUAGUGGAGAUGGGGUUUCACUGUGUUGGCCAGACUGGUCUCAAAUUCCUGAUCUCAGAUGAUCUGCCUGCCUCGGCUUCCCAAAAUGCUGGGAUUACAGGCGUGAGCCACCACGCCUAGCCAGUUUUCCUGUUUUUGAAGUUGUCUGAUCUUACUCUUCGAUUCUGAAUUGCCAUUCACAGAAGCAGCCACACGAGGGCGAUCUAGCCUUUGACAAGCGCCGCUGUGCUGCCUCUUUUCCGAUCAAGAAACCAGUGUUCUUCCCUCUAUGGAACGUUUGGUUGAACGAGACAUCUACGUUGGCGGUCUCGGGGACUCCUGCAGGUCGGUAGUCCCCCCGCAGAUGUGCUGGACCCCAACAGUGCAGCUGAAUCUCCAGGGUCCUUUACUGGGAUUCUUCAGAGUGUGAAGCUGGGUUCUAGAGCUGUAGACGCGACGCGGGGGUCACACAGAAACAGAUGGAGUGAGAGGGAAAGAGCCUGCAAGUGAGCCCAGUGGGCACUGUAUGUCCCCUAGCAUGACCAGGUUACCGAUGGCCAGAGAAAAACUUGCCUGAGGAUCCAGGAAGCUGCAGUAAGGUGGCUGUCAUCACGCUGAAGCAUCGUCGAGCCCUUAGUGUGUCUUGGGAGGAGAGUGUCAGCGGGAGACAGAUGCUUCAACACGAUGCCUGCAGCGUGAGCCCAGAGAGAGAUGGAGGGAAUCUUGAGGCUGAAAUCUGAAAGUGAAUUCUAGGGGAAUCACAGGUAAGGCUCCAGGUAAGAACAGCAGCAAACAAGAGGCCCAGGAUCACACCCAUGGUCUCAAAGAAGGGAGAUGGGAUGCCAUUGGGGAGGCCGGAGGCUGUUGGGAGGAGGGUGCCGUUGGGGAGGCAGGAGGCCGUUGGCGAGGCGGGAGGCCGUUGGCGAGGCG